UGGGGAAUUUUGGACAAUGGGCGAAAGCCUGAUCCAGCAAUGCCGCGUGUGUGAAGAAGGCCUUCGGGUUGUAAAGCACUUUUGUCCGGAAAGAAAUCCUUGGCUCUAAUACAGUCGGGGGAUGACGGUACCGGAAGAAUAAGCACCGGCUAACUACGUGCCAGCAGCCGCGGUAAUACGUAGGGUGCAAGCGUUAAUCGGAAUUACUGGGCGUAAAGCGUGCGCAGGCGGUUUGCUAAGACCGAUGUGAAAUCCCCGGGCUCAACCUGGGAACUGCAUUGGUGACUGGCAGGCUAGAGUAUGGCAGAGGGGGGUAGAAUUCCACGUGUAGCAGUGAAAUGCGUAGAGAUGUGGAGGAAUACCGAUGGCGAAGGCAGCCCCCUGGGCCAAAUACUGACGCUCAUGCACGAAAAGCGUGGGGAGCAAAACAGGAUUAGAUACCCUGGUAGUCCACGCCCUAAAACGAUGUCAACUAGUUGUUGGGGAUUCAUUUCCUUAGUAACGUAGCUAACGCGUGAAGUUGACCGCCUGGGGAGUACGGUCGCAAGAUUAAAACUCAAAGGAAUUGACGGGGUCAUAGCUGUUUCCU
rnacentral:rRNA from 1 species